rnacentral:rRNA from 1 species
AUUGAACGCUGGCGGCAUGCCUUACACAUGCAAGUCGAACGGCAGCAUGGAAGAGCUUGCUCUUCUAAUGGCGAGUGGCGAACGGGUGAGUAAAGCAUCGGAACGUACCGUGUAGUGGGGGAUAACGUAGCGAAAGUUACGCUAAUACCGCAUACGCACUGAGGUGGAAAGCAGGGGAUCGCAAGACCUUGCGCUAUACGAGCGGCCGAUGUCAGAUUAGCUAGCUGGUAGGGUAAAGGCCUACCAAGGCGACGAUCUGUAGCGGGUCUGAGAGGAUGAUCCGCCACACUGGGACUGAGACACGGCCCAGACUCCUACGGGAGGCAGCAGUGGGGAAUUUUGGACAAUGGGGGAAACCCUGAUUCAGCCAUGCCGCGUGAGUGAAGAAGGCCUUCGGGUUGUAAAGCUCUUUCGGCUGGGAAGAAAUCGCACAGGCUAAUACUCUGUGUGGAUGACGGUACCAGCACAAGAAGCACCGGCUAACUACGUGCCAGCCGCCGCCGUAA